GAAAUGCGAUAAGUAAUGUGAAUUGCAGAAUUCCAUGAAUCAUCGAAUCUAUGAACGCACAUUGCGCCCUCUGGCAUUCCGGGGGGCAUGCCUGUCCGAGCGUCAUUACGCACCCUCAAGCCCGGCUUGUGUGAUGGGCCCCGGCGUCUCGUUCGCGAGACGGGCCCGAAAGGCAGCGGCGGCGUCGACCCGAUGAGCCCGAGCGUAUGGGGACUUCUGUCACACGUUCGCGGUGCGGACCGGCGCCUGCUUGACUUUUCUGAUUAUCCAGGUUGACCUCGGAUCAGGUAGGGAUACCCGCUGAACUUAAGC
rnacentral:misc_RNA from 1 species